UACGGGGGGGGCAAGCGUUGUUCGGAAUUACUGGGCGUAAAGGGCUCGUAGGUGGCCAACUAAGUCAGACGUGAAAUCCCUCGGCUUAACCGGGGAACUGCGUCUGAUACUGGAUGGCUUGAGUUCGGGAGAGGGAUGCGGAAUUCCGGGUGUAGCGGUGAAAUGCGUAGAUAUCCGGAGGAACACCGGUGGCGAAGGCGGCUUCCUGGACCGACACUGACGCUGAGGCGCGAAAGCUAGGGGAGCAAACGGG
rnacentral:rRNA from 1 species